GCCUUAUGCCUGAAAGGGCGACGUGGCGACACGGAGCGAGAAGUCAGCAGAAGCCAUAGUAGUCGCCAGUACGGGACGAAGGGC
rfam:Alcanivorax sp. Nap_24 scaffold_15, whole genome shotgun sequence.